AUGGCAUGGACUGCAAAGGAGAGCCAUGGAUCCGUUGAUGGAGAUACAUCACUGUUGUUCGUUCGCACCAUCGAGAUCGUCUCAGGAAGGAUUGCUUCAACCGAGCAGAAACUGAACCGUUGGGAUUAUUCCCAGCUGGAGCAGCUCACCUCUUCCAUCUGCCACAAGCUUGCCACAAUAGGUCUUGCUCAGAAUGGGGCAAGUAUGGAGAACACAGAGGGCUUACACCGGCAAGUGGAUUUGGAGAUGCAAGAACUAUCUUGGCGUGUUCAUCAGGGUUGCCAUGGCAUCAACAGAGAGACCAGACAGACAUUUCUCAACGUGGUGAAAAGCUUCUAUUACUCGGCUCAUUGCUCACCUGAAACAGUUGAUAGCCACAUCGCAAAGGUCAUAUUCCAGGAUGUGAUUUAG
rnacentral:rRNA from 1 species